rnacentral:lncRNA from 1 species
CAGCUCACCUCAUUUGACACAGGGUCUGCUGAAGUCGACUUACCGCUUAUUGUGACUCUUAUUUACUUACUUUCUUUGUCAUUUUUAGAAUACAUGCAGUGAAGCUGUGGAACAGCUCUCAGAAGCUCACAUUUAAAUGUGGGAUGAUAUGGAGGCAUCAGGUGAAAUAUUUGUCUGGUUCGGAGCCCGAGUUUCUCAUCAUAAUUCAGUGAAGCUCCAAGGUGUUGCCUCUUUGACUUCAAUUGUAUUUGUAAGUAGCUUCCUUUGUAUGCAGACAUUUUUAUUGUUUGGAAGAAUUCAGUAGCUUAGGCCUCAGUAAAUAUUAGGGUAAUAAUUAUGAAGUAGUAUGAUUGAGUUGGUAUCACCCAGGGGUGACUUAAAGUUCAAUGUUAAGAGGGAUGCUUAUGCAUUUGAUUAUGCUUAGUACAAUUAACUAUGUUAAGCGGCUAUUUUAGAAAGUGUAUUAUGAGGACUUCAUUCUAGUCACAGUGGUGCGACAAUUCCGACAGUCUCGAACGUUUGCGUAUUCAUAAUAAAGAAAAUAUGCGUAUUUUUAAAUGACUCAAGUAGUCACAUGACCAUUUUAUCAAUAUCAAUUUUUACUGCAUACCCA